rnacentral:piRNA from 1 species
UCUAGAGAAGUUUUUUAAAUGUCCA